GAUGAACGCUAGCGGCAGGCUUAACACAUGCAAGUCGAGGGGCAACACGGGUAGCAAUACCUGGUGGCGACCGGCGCAAGGGUGCGUAACGCGUGAGCAACAUGCCCUAUACAGGGGGAUAAUCCAGGGAAACUUGGUCUAAUAUCCCAUAGUAUUUAGAGGUGGCAUCACCACUAAAUUAAAGCUUCGGUGGUAUAGGAUUGGCUCGCGUGACAUUAGCUGGAUGGUGGGGUAACGGCUCACCAUGGCGAUGAUGUCUAGGGGUUCUGAGAGGAAGACCCCCCACACUGGGACUGAGACACGGCCCAGACUCCUACGGGAGGCAGCAGUGAGGAAUAUUGGACAAUGGAUGGAAAUCUGAUCCAGCCAUGCCGCGUGCAGGAAGACGGCCCUAUGGGUUGUAAACUGCUUUUAUAUGGGAGCAAUAAGGUUUACGCGUAGACCGAUGAGAAUACCAUAUGAAUAAGCAUCGGCUAACU
rnacentral:rRNA from 1 species